rnacentral:rRNA from 1 species
UGUGACGUUACUGACAGAAGAAGCACCGGCUAACUCCGUGCCAGCAGCCGCGGUAAUACGGAGGGUGCGAGCGUUAAUCGGAAUUACUGGGCGUAAAGCGUACGCAGGCGGUUUGUUAAGCGAGAUGUGAAAGCCCCGGGCUCAACCUGGGAACUGCAUUUCGAACUGGCAAACUAGAGUGUGAUAGAGGGUGGUAGAAUUUCAGGUGUAGCGGUGAAAUGCGUAGAGAUCUGAAGGAAUACCGAUGGCGAAGGCAGCCACCUGGGUCAACACUGACGCUCAUGUACGAAAGCGUGGGGAGCAAACGGGAUUAGAUACCCCGGUAGUCCACGCCGUAAACGAUGUCUACUAGAAGCUCGGAGCCUCGGUUCUGUUUUUCAAAGCUAACGCAUUAAGUAGACCGCCUGGGGAGUACGGCCGCAAGGUUAAAACUCAAAUGAAUUGACGGGGGCCCGCACAAGCGGUGGAGCAUGUGGUUUAAUUCGAUGCAACGCGAAGAACCUUACCUACACUUGACAUACAGAGAACUUACCAGAGAUGGUUUGGUGCCUUCGGGAACUCUGAUACAGGUGCUGCAUGGCUGUCGUCAGCUCGUGUUGUGAGAUGUUGGGUUAAGUCCCGCAACGAGCGCAACCCCUAUCCUUAGUUGCUAGCAGGUAAUGCUGAGAACUCUAAGGAGACUGCCGGUGAUAAACCGGAGGAAGGUGGGGACGACGUCAAGUCAUCAUGGCCCUUACGUGUAGGGCUACACACGUGCUACAAUGGCGCAUACAGAGUGCUGCGAACUCGCGAGAGUAAGCGAAUCACUUAAAGUGCGUCGUAGUCCGGAUUGGAGUCUGC